rnacentral:rRNA from 1 species
GAUGAACGCUGGCGGCGUGCCUAAUACAUGCAAGUCGAGCGAACAGACGCUGCUCUUGCUCCUCUCUCGUUAGCCGCAGGCGGGUGUGUAACACGUGUAUAACCUACCUAUCAUUCUGGUAUAUCUUCGGGAAACCGGAUCUAAUCCCGGAUAAUAUAUUGAACCGUGUUGUUCGAUAGUGAGAUUCGGUUUUUCUGUCACUUAUAGAUGGAUCCCCGCCUCAUUAGCUAGUUGUUAAGGUAACGGGCUACCACGGCGACGAUGCGUAGCCGAACUGAGAGAGUGAUAGGCGACACUGGAAGUGAGACAGGGUCAAGACUACUACGGGAGGCAGCAGAAGGGAACGUUACGCAAUGGGCGAAAGCUUGACGGAACAACGGCGCGUGAGUGAUGAAGGUCUUCGGAUCGUAAAAAUCUGUUAUUAGGGAAGAACAAAUGUGUAAGUAAAUAUGCACGUAUUGACGGUAACUAAUAAGAAAGCAACGGCUAACUACGUG